AUACCUUUCUCGGCCUUUUGGCUAAGAUCAAGUGUAGUAUCUGUUCUUAUCAGUUUUAUAUCUGAUAUAUGGGCCAUUGGUCCAUACGAUAUUAAUUAAGUUUUUUGAGGGGGAGAGUCCGUUGAGGUUAGCUUGCUACCUGGGUUCUCGAGCGUCGCCUAGGCUUUGAACUUCUGCCCAGGCCUGGCGCGCCCCAC